AUCCAGCUGACAAGUCCCGAAUCGGACGAAACACUCGUCCUGAAU
rnacentral:hammerhead_ribozyme from 1 species